UACGGGGGGAGCAAGCGUUGUUCGGAUUUACUGGGCGUAAAGGGCGCGUAGGCGGGAUGGCAAGUCGGUCGUGAAAUCCUUCGGCUCAACCGAAGAACGUCGGCCGAUACUGCCGUUCUUGAGGGAUGCAGAGGAGAUUGGAAUUCCCGGUGUAGCGGUGAAAUGUGUAGAGAUCGGGAGGAACACCGGUGGCGAAGGCGGGUCUCUGGGCAUCUCCUGACGCUGAGGCGCGAAAGCGUGGGGAGCAAACGGG
rnacentral:rRNA from 1 species